rnacentral:snRNA from 1 species
AUAUAUUUUGUAAAAAAAAAAAAAAAAAAAAAAAUCUGUUCUUAUCAGUUUAAUAUCUGAUACGUCCCCCAUCGGGGGACUACAUAUUAAAUGGAUUUUUCGAACAGGGAGUCGGAAAUGGGGCUUGCUCCGUCCGCUCCACGCAUCGACCCGGUAUUGCAGUACCUCCGGGAACGGUGCAACACUU